AGACAAGCAGGGGAGACACCUUGAUCACGACGGAGGUUUUCCCAGGGUGGGGCUCAUUCCUUGCACCCCGGGUGCGCUGACCCCUGUGAUUUCCCCAAAUGCGGGAAACUCGACUGCAUAAUUUGUGCUACUGGGGGACUGCAUUCACGCUUAUUUUUA
rnacentral:snRNA from 1 species